rnacentral:tRNA from 1 species
GGUAGCGUGGCCGAGCGGUUUAAGGCGCUGGUUUAAGGCACCAGUCAUUUCGAUGGCGUGGGUUCGAAUCCCACCGCUGCCA